UCAUCUGAGAGAGAAAGAGAGAGAGGCGUUACAAAACAUCUCCCUGGUCUUCUCUGCCAGGUUGUCUCUCUCCUACCCUGUAUCCCAUCUCUCUAGUCUUCUCUGCCAGGUUAUUGUCCCUCUCCUACCCUGUAUCCCAUCUCCCUAGUCUUCUCUGCCAGGUUGUCUCUCUCCUACCCUGUAUCCCAUCUCCCUAGUCUUCUCUGCCAGGUUGUCUCUCUCCUACCCUGUAUCCCAUCUCCCUAGUCUUCUCUGCCAGGUUGUCUCUCUCCUACCCUGUAUCCCAUCUCCCUGGUCUUCUCUGCCAGGUUGUUGUCUCUCUCCUACCCUGUAUCCCAUCUCCCUAGUCUUCUCUGCCAGGUUGUCUCUCUCCUACCCUGUAUCCCAUCUCCCUAGUCUUCUCUGCCAGGUUGUCUCUCUCCUACCCUGUAUCCCAUCUCCCUAGUCUUCUCUGCCAGGUUGUCUCUCUCCUACCUUGUAUCCCAUCUCCCUAGUAUUUUCUGCCAGGUUGUCUCUCUCCUACCCUGUAUCCCAUCUCCCUAGUCUUCUCUGCCAGGUUGUCUCUCUCCUACCUUGUAUCCCAUCUCCCUAGUCUUCUCUGCCAGGUUGUCUCUCUCCUACCCUGUAUCCCAUCUCCCUAGUAUUUUCUGCCAGGUUGUCUCUCUCCUACCCUGUAUCCCAUCUCCCUAGUCUUCUCUGCCAGGUUGUCUCUCUCCUACCCUGUAUCCCAUCUCCCUAGUCUUCUCUGCCAGGUUGUCUCUCUCCUACCCUGUAUCCCAUCUCCCUAGUCUUCUCUGCCAGGUUGUCUCUCUCCUACCCUGUAUCCCAUCUCCAUAGUCUUCUCUGCCAGGUUGUCUCUCUCCUACCCUGUAUCCCAUCUCUCUAGUCUUCUCUGCCAGGUUGUCUCUCUCCUACCCUGUAUCCCAUCUCCCUAGUCUUCUCUGCCAGGUUGUCUCUCUCCUACCCUGUAUCCCAUCUCUCUAGUCUUCUUUGCCAGGUUAUUGUCUCUAGUCUUCUCUGCCAGGUUAUUGUCUCUCUGGUCUUCUCUGCCAGGUUGUUGUCUCUCUAGUCUUCUCUGCCAGGUUAUUGUCUCUCUAGUCUUCUCUGCCAGGUUAUUGUCUCUCUAGUCUUCUCUGCCAGGUUAUUGUCUCUAGUCUUCUCUGCCAGGUUAUUGUCUCUCUAGUCUUCUCUGCCAGGUUAUUGUCUCUCUAGUCUUCUCUGCCAGGUUAUUGUCUCUCUAGUCUUCUCUGCCAGGUUAUUGUCUCUCUAGUCUUCUCUGCCAGGUUAUUGUCUCUCUAGUCUUCUCUGCCAGGUUAUUGUCUCUCUAGUCUUCUCUGCCAGGUUAUUGUCUCUAGUCUUCUCUGCCAGGUUAUUGUCUCUCUAGUCUUCUCUGCCAGGUUAUUGUCUCUCUAGUCUUCUCUGCCAGGUUAUUGUCUCUGGUCUUCUCUGCCAGGUUAUUGUCUCUCUAGUCUUCUCUGCCAGGUUAUUGUCUCUCUAGUCUUCUCUGCCAGGUUAUUGUCUCUAGUCUUCUCUGCCAGGUUAUUGUCUCUAGUCUUCUCUGCCAGGUUAUUGUCCCUCUGGUCUCUCUCCUACC